rnacentral:rRNA from 1 species
GGAGUUAGCCGGUGCUUCUUCUGCGAGUAACGUCACAGAUGUAAGGUAUUAACUUACACCCUUUCCUCCUCGCUGAAAGUGCUUUACAACCCGAAGGCCUUCUUCACACACGCGGCAUGGCUGCAUCAGGGUUUCCCCCAUUGUGCAAUAUUCCCCACCUGCUGCCUCCCGUAGGAGUCUGGGCCGUGUCUCAGUCCCAGUGUGGCUGAUCAUCCUCUCAGACCAGCUAGGGAUCGUCGCCUAGGUGAGCCUUUACCUCACCUACUAGCUAAUCCCACCUGGGCUUAUCCAUCAGCGCAAGGCCCGAAGGUCCCCUGCUUUCCCCCGUAGGGCGUAUGCGGUAUUAGCAGUCGUUUCCAACUGUUAUCCCCCACAAAUGGGCAAAUUCCCAGGCAUUACUCACCCGUCCGCCGCUCGUCAUCUUCAAAAGCAAGCUUUUGAAAUGUUACCGCUCGACUUGCAUGUGUUAGGCCUGCCGCCAGCGUUCAAUCUGAGCCAGAUCAAACUCUGA